AGAGUUUGAUCCUGGCUCAGAUUGAACGCUGGCGGCAGGCUUAACACAUGCAAGUCGAGCGGAGUGAUAGUGCUUGCACUAUCACUUAGCGGCGGACGGGUGAGUAAUGCUUAGGAAUCUGCCAUUUAGUGGGGGACAACAUUCCGAAAGGAAUGCUAAUACCGCAUACGUCCUACGGGAGAAAGCAGGGGAUCUUCGGACCUUGCGCUAAAUGAUGAGCCUAAGUCGGAUUAGCUAGUUGGUGGGGUAAAGGCCUACCAAGGCGACGAUCUGUAGCGGGUCUGAGAGGAUGAUCCGCCACACUGGGACUGAGACACGGCCCAGACUCCUACGGGAGGCAGCAGUGGGGAAUAUUGGACAAUGGGCGGAAGCCUGAUCCAGCCAUGCCGCGUGUGUGAAGAAGGCCUUAUGGUUGUAAAGCACUUUAAGCGAGGAGGAGGCUACCUAGAUUAAUACUCUAGGAUAGUGGACGUUACUCGCAGAAUAAGCACCGGCUAACUCUGUGCCAGCAGCCGCGGUAAUACAGAGGGUGCGAGCGUUAAUCGGAUUUACUGGGCGUAAAGCGUGCGUAGGCGGCUUUUUAAGUCGGAUGUGAAAUCCCCGAGCUAACUUGGGAAUUGCAUUCGAUACUGGGAAAGCUAGAG
rnacentral:rRNA from 1 species